CUCUAACCCCGAUAGGAGCGGCAUCCUUUUUUUCACCUUUCGGGGGAAAAAAGAUAUAGCGGAUAGCGGGACGAUGC
rnacentral:sRNA from 1 species